ACAUGCCUACAACAUAGCGUUAAAACACCGAAUCCCAUUAGAACUUCGUAGUUAAGUGUGCUUAGGAUAGAGUAGUACUAGAAUGGGUGACCGCUUGGGAAGUCCUACUGUUUUACAUGCU
rnacentral:rRNA from 1 species